rnacentral:rRNA from 1 species
AAUUCGAUGCAACGCGAAGAACUUACCUACCCUUGACAUGUCCGGAACUUGCCAGAGAUGGCUUGGUGCCCGAAAGGAAUCGGAACACAGGUGCUGCAUGGCUGUCGUCAGCUCGUGUCGUGAGAUGUUGGGUUAAGUCCCGCAACGAGCGCAACCCUUUGUCAUUAAUUGCCAUCAUUCAGUUGGGCACUUUAAUGAGACUGCCGGUGACAAACCGGAGGAAGGUGGGGAUGACGUCAAGUCCUCAUGGCCCUUAUGGGUAGGGCUUCACACGUAAUACAAUGGUCGGUACAGAGGGUUGCCAACCCGCGAGGGGGAGCCAAUCCCAGAAAACCGAUCGUAGUCCGGAUUGCAGUCUGCAACUCGACUGCAUGAAGUCGGAAUCGCUAGUAAUCGCGGAUCAGCAUGUCGCGGUGAAUACGUUCCCGGGCCUU